UACGGAGGGAGCUAGCGUUGUUCGGAAUUACUGGGCGUAAAGCGCACGUAGGCGGCUUUGUAAGUUAGAGGUGAAAGCCCGGAGCUCAACUCCGGAAUUGCCUUUAAGACUGCAUCGCUCGAAUCAUGGAGAGGUGAGUGGAAUUCCGAGUGUAGAGGUGAAAUUCGUAGAUAUUCGGAAGAACACCAGUGGCGAAGGCGACUCACUGGACAUGUAUUGACGCUGAGGUGCGAAAAGCGUGGAGAGCAAACAGG
rnacentral:rRNA from 1 species